rnacentral:misc_RNA from 1 species
UCAUGGACAUGCUCUGCAUGGCGGGCUCCCUGCACUUCGGUGCGGCCAACCGUCAUGGGGCUGUCUCUUCAUUCUCUGUUCGGUCGGUUCGUACGCUGAUCGGGGAAGCUCGUUACCGGUUGCCUGUGUCGUUCUACCCAUGUGGUAAGCGGAAUCGACGGUCUUGUGCUAGUGUAGACUGCCCUGUUGAUGCUCUGUCGUCAGCGGGUCGGCCGAGGUGCGACGGAAUCCUUUUGUUGCCGUGCGUGUAUGCCAUGGUAUUGCAUUUGGAAGCUCGUCGGGUCUCACGGAUAUGGUGCCCAUUGUGAGCUCUGCAGGCCUAAUGCCUGCAGACCUAACGAGGUUGCCCUUGCAUGGAUCAUUGCUCUCUCUCGCUCCGCGUACACGCCCCGCUUCUGUGGGGCGUGUUGUGUCGGCGCGGUUGAGGGCGUGAUACACGUAUGCGCGGCAUGCCCCUCUAAUCGAAUGACUCGCGAUCGCCGUCAACUGUCGUCAUGAGGCCCUGCCUUCCGGGUAGGCGCCGGAGAUGACGUUCCGGCUAUCGUUUAGGAUGUGC